GAUGAAGAACGCAGCGAAAUGCGAUAAGUAAUGUGAAUUGCAGAAUUCAGUGAAUCAUCGAGUCUUUGAACGCACAUUGCGCCCCCUGGUAUUCCGGGGGGCAUGCCUGUCCGAGCGUCAUUGCUGCCCUCAAGCACGGCUUGUGUGUUGGGCUCCGUCCCCCCGGGGACGGGCCCGAAAGGCAGCGGCGGCACCGAGUCCGGUCCUCGAGCGUAUGGGGCUUUGUCACCCGCUCUGUAGGCCCGGCCGGCGCCAGCCGACAACCCAUCAUCCUUUUCAGGUUGACCUCGGAUCAGGUAGGGAUACCCGCUGAACUUAAGCAUAUCAAUAAGCGGGGA
rnacentral:misc_RNA from 1 species